rnacentral:lncRNA from 1 species
GCCCAAGCCCCGCCCCGGAGGCCACGCCUCUUUCCCCUGCGUGUCUGCAGUUUCCCACGGAACCGGAAACGGAAGGCGCGUGGGGACGGUCCCGAGGCCGCAGGCAGGCAUCUUCGUCGCCCUCCAUGUAUAUACGACGGCGAGGAGGAUCAGGAGAAGCAGAAACGGAGCGACUGCCAGAGAAACGGAAAACCUGAGAAGGAGAGAUGAAUGGGGGAGAACGGAUCAGAAAUGGUUAGUUGGGAGUUCCCUUAGUGGCUCAGUGCAAACGAAUAUGACUAGCAUCCAUGAAGACCCUGGCCUCCUCCUGCGAGUCAAGGAACCUGCAUGCCGUGAGCUGUGGUGUAAGGUCGCAGGCGCAGCUCCGAUCUGGCGUGGCUGUGACUCUGGCAUAGGCCAGCAGCUACAGUUCCAAUUUGAGCCCUAGCCUGGGAACUUCCAUAUGUUGGGGUGCGGCCCUAAAAAGACAAAAAGAAGAAAGGAAGAAAUGCUUAGUGGGAGUUCCGUUGUGGCUCAGCCGUAAGAAAUAACUAGUAUUCACAAGGUCGCGGGUUGGAUCCCUGGCCCUGCUCUGUAGGUUAAGGAUCCAGCGUUGCCGUGGCCUAGGCUGGCAUCUGCAGCUCCGAUUCCACCGCUAACCUGGAAACGUCCUCGGGGUGCGGCCCUAAAAAGACAAAAAAGAAAGAAAGAAAUGGUUUGUGAUAGAAAUGAUCACAUGCCUUAGUCCUCAAGUCCCAGACCCCAGGUUUUGUCCCUGAGCCUCUGGAAUCUCGAGAGUUGAGUUUGGCUUCCUUGCUGAAUGAGAAAUGGAAGGGAAAGCUGUUUGGUAGGGUGUCCCAUGAAAUGGCCUGUUCUACACAGGGAGAAUUUUGUAGCUGUCAAUCUAAUUUGUAGUAAAGGAACAAGUCCUCUUUCUGUUUCUUAAGCGACUUUAAUUCGACCUGCAGGAAACCGCCCCACAGCAACCCCUUAGACACCCACAUUCCCCGGCUGUCCAGCCUCAGGAGCUGGGCAGUCGGCCACCUGGUGGCAAAGUAGCUUUUUAUUGAAACCAUUCUCAGAUUGCUCUGCGGAAACAUCCUCGUUUUCGACAUCAGUGGUCCCCGCAAGUGUCCCUUUUCACUCGCAAUGGUUCCGAACAGUAACCGAAAGGGUGUAACUUCAAGAUUCGGGGCAGCCCCCCUCGCUCCUCGCCCCUCGCCCCCUUGGGCCGGCGCGACUCGACCCGCCC